rnacentral:rRNA from 1 species
UGCGAAUCUCGAAAGCCGGUCUCAGUUCGGAUUGGAGGCUGAAACUCGCCUCCAUGAAGUUGGAUUCGCUAGUAAUCGCGGAUCAGAAUGCCGCGGUGAAUACGUUCCCGGGUCUUGUACACACCGCCCGUCACACCAUGGGAGUCGGAAAUGCCCGAAGUCUGUGACCCAACCUACGGGAGGGAGCAGCCGAAGGCAGGUCGGAUGACUGGGGUGAAGUCGUAACAAGGUACC